rnacentral:rRNA from 1 species
AUUGAACGCUGGCGGCAGGCCUAACACAUGCAAGUCGAACGGUAACAGGAAGCAGCUUGCUGCUUCGCUGACGAGUGGCGGACGGGUGAGAAAUGUCUGGGAAACUGCCUGAUGGAGGGGGAUAACUACUGGAAACGGCAGCUAGUACCGCAUAACGUCGCAAGACCAAAGAGGGGGACCUUCGGGCCUCUUGCCAUCGGAUGUGCCCAGAUGGGAUUAGCUAGUAGGUGGGGUAACGGCUCACCUAGGCGACGAUCCCUAGCUGGUCUGAGAGGAUGGCCAGCCACACUGGGACUGAGACACGGUCCAGACCCCUACGGGAGGCAGCAGUGAGGAAUAUUGGACAAUGGGCGCAAGCCUGAUGCCGCCAUGCCGCGUGUAUGAAGAGGGCCUUCGGGUUGUAAAAUACUUUCAGCGGGGAGGAAGGCGAUAAGGUUAAUAACCUUGUCGAUUGACGUUACCCGCAGAAGAAGCACCGGCUAACUCCGUGCCAGCCGCCGCAGUAA